GAUGAACGCUGGCGGCGUGCCUAAUACAUGCAAGUCGAGCGAACAGACGAGGAGCUUGCUCCUCUGACGUUAGCGGCGGACGGGUGAGUAACACGUGGAUAACCUACCUAUAAGACUGGGAUAACUUCGGGAAACCGGAGCUAAUACCGGAUAAUAUAUUGAACCGCAUGGUUCAAUAGUGAAAGACGGUUUUGCUGUCACUUAUAGAUGGAUCCGCGCCGCAUUAGCUAGUUGGUAAGGUAGCGGCUUACCAAGGCAACGAUGCGUAGCCGACCUGAGAGGGUGAUCGGCCACACUGGAACUGAGACACGGUCCAGACUCCUACGGGAGGCAGCAGUAGGGAAUCUUCCGCAAAGGGCGAAAGCUUGACGGAGCAACGCCGCGUGAGUGAUGAAGGUCUUCGGAUCGUAAAACUCUGUUAUUAGGGAAGAACAAAUGUGUAAGUAACUAUGCACGUCUUGACGGUACCUAAUCAGAAAGCCACGGCUAACUACGUG
rnacentral:rRNA from 1 species